UACAGAGGUCUCGAGCGUUGUUCGGAUUCAUUGGGCGUAAAGGGUGCGUAGGUGGCGCUGUAAGUCGGGUGUGAAAUCCUGAGGCUUAACCUCGGAACUGCAUUCGAUACUGCGGCGCUUGAGGACUGGAGAGGAGACUGGAAUUCAUGGUGUAGCAGUGAAAUGCGUAGAGAUCAUGAGGAAGACCAGUGGCGAAGGCGGGUCUCUUGACAGUUCCUGACACUGAGGCACGAAGGCCAGGGGAGCAAACGGG
rnacentral:rRNA from 1 species